CUGCAUCAACCGGGGUGUCCGCGAUGCGGGCUGAGAUCACACCCGUUGAACCUGACCUGGGUCAUGCCAGCGUAGGGAGAAAAACGGCAUGCCGG
rnacentral:ncRNA from 2 species